UCCGGUUUGUCACCGGCAGUCUCCCUAGAGUGCCCUUGCGUAGCAACUAGUGACAAGGGUUGCGCUCGUUACGGGACUUAACCCAACAUCUCACGACACGAGCUGACGACAGCCAUGCAGCACCUGUCACUCGGUUCCCGAAGGCACCCGCCCAUCUCUGGGCAGUUCCGAGGAUGUCAAGGCCAGGUAAGGUUUUUCGCGUUGCAUCGAAUUGAACCACAUGCUCCACCGCUUGUGUGGGCCCCCGUCAAUUCCUUUGAGUUUUAAUCUUGCGACCGUACUCCCCAGGCGGAAUGCUUAAAGCGUUAGCUGCGCCACUAGUGAGUAAACCCACUAACGGCUGGCAUUCAUCGUUUACGGCGUGGACUAC
rnacentral:misc_RNA from 1 species